CAAGUACUCCCUCCAUCCAGAAUUACUUGUCAUCAAAAUGGAUGUGUCUAGAACUAAAAUACAUCUAGAUACAUCCAUUUCAAUGACAAGUAUUUUCGGACGGAGGGAGUACAAG
rfam:Triticum aestivum genome assembly, contig: Triticum_aestivum_CS42_TGACv1_scaffold_022858_1AS